rnacentral:tRNA from 2 species
GGGAGAUUAUUUCAAUGGUAGAAAGACUGUUUUACACACAGUAGGUUAAGUGUUCGAAUCACUUAUCUCUCA